CUCAUAGAAGCUAUUGAUUAGGACCCAAUCCACUUUGUCAAGAUUUGAGAAUUGAUUGACCAACAUUUCAAGUAUUCUUUCUGCUUCAGGAUUAAUAACAAAAGUAGGUACAUCUGAACUCUCAAUUGUACAUGAUAAUCCAGGAAUUAAUAUUUCUUCAUCAUUUUUAGUAGGUGGAAGUUUUAUUAGCCCUUUAUGUACAUGGUAAUAAAUAUUAUCCACUGCACAAUUUUGUGUGAAAAAUGCAGCACUUACUAAUCCAAAU